rnacentral:tRNA from 1 species
UCCCUAGUAGCUCAGUUGGUAAAGAAUCUGCCUGCAAUGCAGGAGACCCUGGUUCGAUUCCUGGGUUGGGAA